GAAUAUGCAUUUUUAUUUGUUCGCCUUUUGGAGGACGUAGUGUUCACCUUCGGUCUAACUUGCUGGAUGCUGGUUUUGAGUUUUGAAGAGGAUUUGGCCACGUUUCGGUUGUGAGGAUCAUUAGGUGUUUGCACCACUUUGGAGAAAUUGUCUUGGACAGGCCUCUCCUUCUGCCAGACCAACUUAGACUCCAAGAAUAAGGACACUGAUUCAUGCAGCUGAAUAAGUUGCCAAGGCCACACCAGCAAAAAGACAGCAAAACUCCAACAACACAUUUUCAACUGGAUUUACAUAUAAAACUGUGCUGACUCUACACAGAACAGGAACAAAUGAAUAACUUUGCUUUCUGUAUCGGACCUGCUCUGAUAAGCGUUUAUCCCUGUAUUUCCGAACAAGGUUUUGGGCAGAGUGUAUCCUAGCUGUCCUCUAAUCUCUCCUGGUAACACUGU